GCGAGUGAAGCGGCAACAGCUCAAAUUUGAAAUCUGGCUCCCCCCUGGGGGGCCCGAGUUGUAAUUUGGAGAGGAUGCUUUGGGCGCGGCGCCUUCCGAGUUCCUUGGAACAGGACGCCAGAGAGGGUGAGAGCCCCGUACGGUCGGACGCCUAGCCCGUGCAAAGCUCCUUCGACGAGUCGAGUAGUUUGGGAAUGCUGCUCAAAAUGGGAGGUAAAUUUCUUCUAAAGCUAAAUACCGGCCAGAGACCGAUAGCGCACAAGUAGAGUGAUCGAAAGAUGAAAAGCACUUUGAAAAGAGGGUUAAACAGCACGUGAAAUUGUUGAAAGGGAAGCGCCUGUGGCCAGACGUGCGCCCCGCGGACCACCCGUCGCUCUGCGGCGGGGCACGCCGCGGCGGCGCAGGCCAGCAUCGGCUCUCCCAGGGGGACAAAGGCCGCGGGAACGUAGCUCCUUCGGGAGUGUUAUAGCCCGCGGCGCCAUGCCUCUGGGGGGGCCGAGGACCGCGCCUUCGGGCAAGGAUGCUGGCGUAAUGGCCACCAGCGACCCGUCUUGAAACACGGACCAAGGAGUCAAGCAUUGGGGCGAGUGUUUGGGUGACAAACCCGCACGCGAAAUGAAAGUGAACGCAGGUGGGAGCCUCCGGGCGCACCACCGACCGAUCCUGAAGUUUUCGGAUGGAUUUGAGUAGGAGCCUUGCCGCU
rnacentral:rRNA from 1 species